GCGAUGGUGGUAUAGUGGUGAGCGUGGCUGCCUUCCAAGCAGUUGACCCGGGUUCGAUUCCCGGCCAUCGCA
rnacentral:tRNA from 1 species